CGGGGGUUGGAAUCACGAUGUUGUGGCCCCCGCUAGCGUUGAACUGGUGAUCACGGGGAUCUCCAUACACCAGUCGGUACAGCCGCGUCACUACUAAAGUAGGCCGCUAGGGGAUGCCCGCAUUGCUCCUAGCGCUCCGAAUUUUAUGCGUAGUGUCGCGCUGCACGCCGUGGAGGGGUGAGACUUGUUGGAAGUCUCAGAAGGUGCAGACGCCG
rnacentral:sRNA from 12 species